rnacentral:rRNA from 1 species
UAGGGAAUCUUCGGCAAUGGGGGGAACCCUGACCGAGCAACGCCGCGUGCGUGAAGAAGGUUUUCGGAUCGUAAAGCUCUGUUGUUAAGGAAGAACGAGUGUGUGAAUGGAAAGUUCAUACUGUGACGGUACUUAACCAGAAAGGGACGGCUAACUACGUGCCAGCAGCCGCGGUAAUACGUCGGUCCCGAGCGUUGUCCGGAUUUAUUGGGCGUAAAGCGAGCGCAGGCGGUUAGUUAAGUCUGAAGUUAAAGGCAGUGGCUCAACCAUUGUAGGCUUUGGAAACUGUUUAACUUGAGUGCAGAAGGGGAGAGUGGAAUUCCAUGUGUAGCGGUAAAAUGCAUAGUUAUUUGGAAGAACACCGGUGGAGAAAGCGGCUCUCUGGUCUGUAACUGACGCUGAGGCUCGAAAGCGUGGGGAGCGAACAGG